rnacentral:rRNA from 1 species
GAUGAACGCUGGCGGCGUGCCUAAUACAUGCAAGUCGAGCGAACGGACGAGAAGCUUGCUUCUCUGAUGUUAGCGGCGGACGGGUGAGUAACACGUGGAUAACCUACCUAUAAGACUGGGAUAACUUCGGGAAACCGGAGCUAAUACCGGAUAAUAUUUUGAACCGCAUGGUUCAAGAGUGAAAGACGGUCUUGCUGUCACUUAUAGAUGGAUCCGCGCUGCAUUAGCUAGUUGGUAAGGUAACGGCUUACCAAGGCAACGAUGCAUAGCCGACCUGAGAGGGUGAUCGGCCACACUGGAACUGAGACACGGUCCAGACUCCUACGGGAGGCAGCAGUAGGGAAUCUUCCGCAACGGGCGAAAGCCUGACGGAGCAACGCCGCGUGAGUGAUGAAGGUCUUCGGAUCGUAAAACUCUGUUAUUAGGGAAGAACAUAUGUGUAAGUAACUGUGCACAUCUUGACGGUACCUAAUCAGAAAGCCACGGCUAACUACGUG